UACGGGGGGAGCAAGCGUUGUUCGGAUUUACUGGGCGUAAAGGGCGCGUAGGCGGCCACGACAAGUCACUUGUGAAAUCUCCGGGCUUAACCCGGAACGGUCAAGUGAUACUGUCGGGCUAGAGUGCAGAAGGGGCAACUGGAAUUCUCGGUGUAGCGGUGAAAUGCGUAGAUAUCGAGAGGAACACCUGCGGCGAAGGCGGGUUGCUGGGCUGACACUGACGCUGAGGCGCGAAAGCUAGGGGAGCGAACGGG
rnacentral:rRNA from 1 species